rnacentral:tRNA from 1 species
GGCGCGAUAGCAAAGCGGUUAUGCAGCGGAUUGCAAAUCCGUUGAGGUCGGUUCGACUCCGGCUCGCGCCUCCA